rnacentral:rRNA from 1 species
UACAGAGGGGGCAAGCGUUAUUCGGAAUUAUUGGGCGUAAAGGGCGCGUAGGCGGCUUUUCAAGUGACGGGUGAAAUCCCUCGGCUUAACCGAGGAACUGCCUGUCAGACUGGAAGGCUUGAGACCGGGAGAGGUGAGUGGAAUUCCCAGUGUAGCGGUGAAAUGCGUAGAUAUUGGGAAGAACACCGGAGGCGAAGGCGGGUUGCUGGGCCGACACUGACGCUGAGGCGCGAAAGCCAGGGGAGCAAACGGG